UACGUAGGGUGCAAGCGUUAAUCGGAAUUACUGGGCGUAAAGCGUGCGCAGGCGGUUUGGUAAGACAGAUGUGAAAUCCCCGGGCUUAACCUGGGAAUUGCAUUUGUGACUGCCCGGCUAGAGUGUGUCAGAGGGGGGUAGAAUUCCACGCGUAGCAGUGAAAUGCGUAGAGAUGUGGAGGAAUACCGAUGGCGAAGGCAGGCCCCCUGGGAUAACACUGACGCUCAUGCACGAAAGCGUGGGGAGCAAACAGG
rnacentral:rRNA from 1 species